rnacentral:rRNA from 1 species
GAUGAACGCUGGCGGCGUGCCUAAUACAUGCAAGUCGAGCGAAUGGAUUGAGAGCUUGCUCUUAUGAAGUUAGCGGCGGACGGGUGAGUAACACGUGGGUAACCUGCCCAUAAGACUGGGAUAACUCCGGGAAACCGGGGCUAAUACCGGAUAACAUUUUGAACCGCAUGGUUCGAAAUUGAAAGGCGGCUUCGGCUGUCACUUAUGGAUGGACCCGCGUCGCAUUAGCUAGUUGGUGAGGUAACGGCUCACCAAGGCAACGAUGCGUAGCCGACGUGAGAGAGGGAUCGGCCACACUGGGAAUGGAGAACGGCCCAGACUCCUACGGGAGGCAGCAGUAGGGAAUCGUCCGCAAUGGACGAAAGUCUGACGGAGCAACGCCGCGUGAGUGAUGAAGGCUUUCGGGUCGUAAAACUCUGUUGUUAGGGAAGAACAAGUGCUAGUUGAAUAAGCUGGCACCUUGACGGUACCUAACCAGAAAGCCACGGCUAACUACGUGCCAGCCGCCGCCGUAA